UGCGACCCCAGGUCAGGCGGGACU
rnacentral:rRNA from 1 species